rnacentral:rRNA from 1 species
UACCAGCACCCCGAGUGGUCGGGACGAUUAUUGGGCCUAAAGCAUCCGUAGCCGGUUCUACAAGUCUUCCGUUAAAUCCACCUGCUUAACAGUUGGGCUGCAGAGGAUACUAUAGAGCUAGGAGGCGGGAGAGGCAAGCGGUACUUAGUGGGUAGGGGUAAAAUCCGUUGAUCCACUGAAGACCGCCAGUGGCGAAGGCGGCUUGCCAGAACGCGCUCGACGGUGAGGGAUGAAAGCUGGGGGAGCAAACCGG